UUCGGCGACCGCAGUACCCGUUUUCGACCACAGGAGGGCACAGUUUUACGUCCCGUAGCAUGACCACCGACGACGACGUUCCUAGUAUCUCCGACUUCCUGUCCAUUCGCCGAGGUCGUCCCCAACUUCCUGUCCGUUCGCAGCACGGUUCCCUGCUUUUUCCCGUGCUCUUUUCUGCACUACGUUGACGGAGCGCACGCAGGAAGGAAAAAAGGAAGCGUGCUACUGGCUCAGGUUUAUCAUUUAAAGGAUGGAUAAAAGGGAUAAGACGUGAGAAGUUGCAACUAAUGGCAUUUAUUAAUUUGUUCGCCAUCCAUCUAACUUUGUAGACCUUCGUCCAAAGCAAGUCAGGGUUAGGAAGGGCAGGAGAUUCCUUCCUUUCCUCUCCAGGUUGCCGUAAACAACCCACCCAUCGCCCAGAGUGGAAAGGGCACAAAGAGACCCAGCCUCCUAGUCUCUCGUACCGGCAUCCAGCCGCCUGCUUAGGGACAGGAAGUCGGCCAUGCCGAGAAGGUCGUUCUGAAUGGAAGUGGAAGGACGGCCACAGAAACGGACAGGAAGUUGGCCAUCCCGGGGAGGUCGGUGUGUAAGACAGUGGAGGACUACUGCGCAUGUGUGACUGGAAGUUGGCAGGCCCUAGGAGUAGGUAACCCAAAACACUCGAAGAGCCACUUGGACCCAUUUACAACCGAAAACAUCUUUUAUGACUCAUGGACUUCUACUCCCAGAAUUCCUGAGUCAGCAUAGCUGGGCUAGCUAGCUCUCUCCUGCUUCCUGCAGAGACGC